GGAGUGGACGCAUCACUGGUGUUCGGGUUGUCAUGCCAAUGGCACUGCCCGGUAGCUAAAUGCGGAAGAGAUAAGUGCUGAAAGCAUCUAAGCACGAAACUUGCCCCGAGAUGAGUUCUCCCUGAGACUUAGAGUCUCCUGAAGGAACGUUGAAGACGACGACGUUGAUAGGCCGGGUGUGUAAGCGCAGCGAUGCGUUGAGCUAACCGGUACUAAUGAACCGUGAGGCUUAACCUUACAACGCCGAAGCUGUU
rnacentral:rRNA from 2 species